AAUCUGCCUUGGAGUGGGAAUAACGGCUGGAAACAGCCGCUAAUACCGCAUGAUACAGCUGGGAGGCAUCUCCCUGGCUGUCAAAGAUUUAUCGCUCUGAGAUGAGCUCGCGUCUGAUUAGCUAGUUGGCGGGGUAACGGCCCACCAAGGCGACGAUCAGUAGCCGGACUGAGAGGUUGGCCGGCCACAUUGGGACUGAGACACGGCCCAGACUCCUACGGGAGGCAGCAG
rnacentral:rRNA from 1 species